UACAACAGAAGACUGCAUGGGAUUCUGUUACAGAUGGUUGUGAGCCACCAUGUGGUUGCUGGGGAACUGAACUCAGAACCUCUAGAAAAGCAGUUAGUGCUCUUAACUGCUGAACCAUCUCUCCAGCAAAUACUGUUCCUCCUAACAAACCAUUCUACAGUCUAAAUACACAGGUUAGGAAGCUGGGGGAGCCUGUGACUGGGUCGGUCAGAUCUAUGUCAGAGUUCCUGUCAUGGACUUAUUCUGACUCAGCUGACCCUGUCAUUUGAUCACUUAGAACUCACAGCACAUCAUUUAUAACAACCCCAUGUACACACUCCUCUUCCUCUCCCCUCUUGCUUCUACAGAACCUAAGGAUGGCUUGCCCACAGAGACCACUAAAUCCAGGGCUGGAGAAAAUGCUCAUCAUGUAAAGAUGUUUGCAGCCAAGCCGGACUCACAAGAUGGAGGGAGAGCACUGACUUCUACAGGCUAUCCUCUGACCUAGACAUCUGUAAGGAGAGAAUUAUGCAUCCACACACACCAAGACCAUAAAUCAAAAUAAAAAGUACAUCUUUAAAACUUUACAA